rnacentral:rRNA from 1 species
UACAGAGGGGGCAAGCGUUGUUCGGAAUUACUGGGCGUAAAGGGCGCGUAGGCGGCUUUGCAAGUCGGGUGUGAAAUCCCCAGGCUUAACCUGGGAACUGCAUUCGAGACUGCAUUGCUAGAGUAUGGGAGAGGGAAGUGGAAUUUCCGGUGUAGCGGUGAAAUGCGUAGAUAUCGGAAGGAACAUCAGUGGCGAAAGCGACUUCCUGGACCAUACUGACGCUCAUGUGCGAA